CGAGCUCGUACGCCGCGCUUACGGGCGUAUGUUUACCUACGGAGCAUACAAAGUACCUAACGAAGAACCAAAUACUUCUGCUGGCAACCCGUUAUCAAGCUACGCGAGGUAAGCUCAACCAUGUUCACGUUUCAACGCUGUCACCAACUCACCGCGUGUCUGAUGCGCUGGUGGCCAGAUCUUUUGAUUUAAUAUCUAUCCAUGAUAUAAUCACAGAUCUUUCACAUCUUAGCCACCGUGCUCGUCGUUUCCUCGGAUCUCGCACGAAGUUGAGAUAAAUUUCAUGUAUAAAUUACUCACCCUAAUAUCAUACUGCAUACACUUUAAGUGCGUCGAUAAAGAGCUUUGAGGUCGUGACAACGGCUGGAAUCUACGAACCUGUUUCACGCAUCAAAGUCCACCAUGCUUUGAACCCUGCGGUUUGUGGCGCGUGAUGAGCAAGUAGCAAGUGCCACCCAAACCUGCGUUCUAUGGUGCGCACGAGAGCAUCCGGCAUAGCCGCGAACCACGGCUCUUUUUUGUAUGUGUACGAUGUAUAUGAUUUGUAUGUGUAUGAUUUGUUCGGGCGUUUUUUCCUUCGACUAAUUUUGUCAUCAUCAUCGAAACGGAACGUUUAAUUCGAGCUCUCCACAUUUUAGGGCUAAUUUUGGGAAAAGUGUGACUGUCCAUGUAUAGACACAACACCAAACUCGAUUAAAAAGCUCCUCAAAAAAUGUGCGGGAAUUGUCUCGAGUGUGUGGCGCUUGCGAUUGUGGCACGCGUUGAAGCGACUCGCGGUACGGCACGUACGUAGUCUUGAACACGAAUAUAUGUGAAUACGAUUCACGUUCGAACGCUCUUGGAGUUGCGCUUCGACAUGCUACUGAAAGUAGCUUGCGAUUCCGGUACUAUGGCUCGCCGAACGGUCAUUCUGUUUGCGGUUGUGGCCGUGUUGCUUUGGAGACUGUUCUUGUUCGAUAUUGGUGACAGCAGAUUUAAAAGUAUCACACCACAUCCAUCACCGGAGCAAAGACGACAACAAAAUCACCGAGCAAGAUUUUUAGAGCUCACACAUAACGAAACCUACAAAACCGCAAAUGUCGAAGAGAGGAACGAUGAACAUUUCAAGAUGGAACGAUAUGAAGAAUCACCUGCAAGAUUACAAGCGUCAGCUAAUUUGGAUACACAGAGCACCCGCGUCUUGGUUUUAAGUUGGCAUGGUGGUACCGCGAAAGACACAGCGAUGCAACUUCAUAACGCUGGAGUUCGUCGCGAAAAUAUCGUGUGUGGAGGCAUUAUUUGGUACGAGAAAGUCCUCGAUUCUGCUCCUUGCGUAAGAGAUCAUGCAUUAUCUGAGGCUUUGAAUCGAUUGACACAGCGUGUAAGAGGUUUUCCCAUGGCUAUCGAUCCAGCAGACGAGAAAUGGUUGGAUGAUUUCGCAGCUGAGGCUAGCGAGAUGCUAUCUACGUUCCAUGUGCUCUGGGCGGACUUUCCUACCGCCCUUUGUCUUCUAUUAAACAAGAUUGCCCCACAUAAAUUGAUAGUACGCACAACGCAUCGUUUUGAUCACCAGGUGGCUCAUUCGAAGAUAAAUCACACGUCAUUUGUACGUAAAAGCCUCAUGCGCGUUCUACGCGAGGCGCCAAUACUUCUUGCUGGGAGCGAGUACGAUCGGGCAUACAUGAAGUUCUACACAUGUCGUGAACCUGAACGUCUAUUCAUAACAUGGCCAACACAGUAUUUGGAGAGUUUGGGCGCAUCGCGUACACUUACGAACGAGUCAUGCUUCAUCUUGUGGGGGGGGUCGAACAACGAAGGUAGUUCAAGCAUAUCGAUUACAUUUGAUAGAAUACGAGUCCUCGGGCGCACUAUGGAGUCACAAGUUCCCAUGAAAAGUCGCCCAACGAGUUUUGCUCACGCUUCGGAAUUUGCAACAGAGCAAGCCGUAGUAUAUUUCCCAUACAGUAUGCCGAGUUCCGCAUUUCAUGAACUUUACGCGAGUGGUGUCCCCCUUUUCGUGCCAUCGUUGACUUUCAUGCUCGAUGAGUUUUCAAAAAACCGUGGCUAUCCUCACAAAGUAGCUGGUAAUGUCCCUUGUGCUUCACCAUCUUUUUACGAAAACGCUGAGGCAGUGGAGUUCUGCUGUCUUGACGAUACUGGGGUAUGUCAUGAUCCAAAUUCAUGCGAUCCUGAAGCGCUGAAACAAUGGGUAUCAUUAGGUGACCUUUACACCACCCCGCAUGUGACGUAUUUCGACAGUGCCGAGCAUGCUGUGGAACUCAUGAGCAACUGGAUGAAGCAUCCAGACCAACGGGAUCGAACGAUCGAGGACAUGGAGUCACACAACGUUGCUAACCUUCGAUGGAAUGCUCGUGUCGUUCAAGCCGCAAUUCGUCAUGUCAAACAAAGCAGCGCGCUUGAACUGGAUUGAAAAUGCUGGUCGAUACAAAGAAGCUGUGGGGGCGAUACUUUGGACAUCGUAUUCAAUAUCUUACUUGGCGUACCUCGCCAUGUAGAGUCUCACGCCUAGCGUAUGUACGCGAAGUGAAAAUAGAUUUGAGUUUUCAUUUAGUGUAACUCGAUAGCGGGUUUUCCAUGGUGGUGUUCGGGAUGGGCGCUACUCCCCCUGCCGUAGUAUCGCAUAUUUCGUAAUCGAACAACUGCCCGUACGUUCCUCGCACUAAGUGAACAAUCGCCACCCGGUCGAAAACUGUCACUUUCUUCCCCCGUCGCACGAGUCGUUUCGCGAUUUCGAGCAGCUGGGACUCUUCGAUGAUAUCCACAGGACAAUUCGAUUCAUAUGCGACGUAGGAUACCUUACACCUAUCGAGAUCUAGCCAGGUAACACCGUGCCUCAAAUCAUCAAGUGUUUGUUCUCGGGGUUCAAGUCGCUAAUAUCACUCAAAAAACCGACUGAGCGCGCUUGUGUCGUACGCUUGAUCUCCAGAGUCAGUGGGCGUGGCGACGAGGAUGAAGACCAUAUCGACGCGAUCGAUCACUUCACGCAGCUUUAAAGUUGCGCGCAGAUGUUUGCUCGAUCGAAGCGCUUCCUCGACUCUUGGCUCAGUCAAACGAAGCGUGAUUUCGUUGAUGCUGUCCACGUGCGCCGGAAAGACAUCCGAACCAACGAUAUCCCAAUCAGCUUGUUCACACUUGAGAGCCGUACAUAGUCCGAGUCGGCCCAGACCGACGAAUCUGGCGCGCGUUGUUUGCAAGAUCGAUCGAGUGGUAGCCAUCUUCGCUCUGCGACGUUGCAACGUCAGAGACGGCGACUGGCCCAAGAUCACUCCACUCUCUUAAAGCAUGUCUCUUUCUGGACUUUAUUAUCCCUGGUACUUUGUUAGGUAUAUGUCGUAGGAACGCAACCGCGGACCACAGCCUCGGUGUUGACUCACCACUGCUUUCCUCUGCGUCGAAACUACCGCAACAACGCUCUUGACACGCGCACUAACAUUAAGUACACCGGUCGUGAGCGACGCCAUGCGCGAGUCGAAUGAGUUCGUGAAAACGUUUUACGAUGAUCGCCCUUGUAACAUUCGGCUCGAAGGAAUACUUUGAAGAAGUGACGCGGCGUAAAUAUUUCGUCGAGAACCACACUUUGGCAUUCGCAAGUCUCGACGCGUACGAAAACAAUCUGUUCUCGAGGUUGGUUGCGGUAUAGGGACCGCGACACAAAGUUUUACUGAAGCUGGCGCGGUUUACACAGGCAUCGACGUUUCCUUGCGAAGUGUAGAACUCGCUGAGAAGCGACUCAAACUGUUCAAACUCAAUGGUGAGGUGCGCGUUGCAGAUAUACAGACCGAUGAAUUCAUGCACGACCAUUUUGAUCCUCUUUUUAGUUUCGGAGUUCUGCAUCACAUCGCCGAUGUACAACCCGCCGUGAAGGAUAUUUCAUGACUCUCAAACCGGGAGGCGAGUGCAAGCUGAUGAUGUACGCAAAUAAUUCUUGGAAAAAAACUUGGAAAAAGACUUUCGUCGACUCGGGAUUGGACCAAUUUGAACCACAAUCUGGAGUUCCAAUCACUCACACUUACAAAGCCAGUGUCGUGCAAUCAUCAAGCUCGUUUGUGAAAUCAAACUCGAGCGAUCGUCGUCGACCGUCCGCGCUCGCCGAAGGGUGCGGGCGCAACGCAGGUGAGAAUUCGCCCCAGUAGGCGCUCAAGUCGUUAUUCGAGUACCAACGCACGGUUUCCGCGAGACCGACGUCCCAGGACUUUUCUUGUCGCCAUCCGAGCGCUAAAAGCUUUGAGCAAUCGAUGAAAUAUCUUCGGUCGUUGAAGGCUCGAUCGCUCACGUGCUCGAUGGUCGUUUCCGGGUCGCGAUCGAGGAGCUUACAGACAUCCCGAGCGACGGACAAGAUCGUCCGCUCUUCGCGCGAGCCGAUGUUAUAAAUCUGCGCCGUCGUCCCGCGGUGGAGAAUGACAUCGAACGCCGAAGACGCAUCGUCAACGUGCAUGUACGAACGCGUCGCGUCGCCGUCGCCGUGUAUCGAAAUCUUUUCCCCGCGUUUCGCGAGGAUUGAAAACUUUGGAAUCGCCUUCUCUGGAUACUGAUUCGGCCCAUACACGUUGUUUCCGCGAGUGAUGAUGUACGGUAGUCCGUACGAGCGUCCAUACGCCAUGACGAGCAUCUCCGCGCCCGCCUUGGUCGCGGCGUACGGGUUGGUGGGCGUCAGGAGCGACGCGUGCUCGGUGUUUGAAUCCAUGAGAUUUUCCCCGUAUACCUCAUCCGUGGACACGUGCAGGAAUCGUCGAAUUUCGGUCUUCUGCGCUCGCACGCACGCCUCGAGUAACGCGUGCGUGCCCUCGAUGUUAUUCUUCGUGAACUCGUACGAGUUCCCGAAAGAGUUGUCCACGUGACUCUGCGCGGCGAAGUGCAUGACGGUGUCGAUGCGCUCGCUUUGCAAGACGUAACUCAAUAAAUCGAACGAACGCACAUCGCCCUUGACGAACCGCACGUUCGCGCAUUCUUUCGCGCGCUCGAGAUUUUUCAAGCUCGAGCAAUAGUCGAGCUUGUCCAGGAUGACAAUCUGUCGAGCGCGACGAGUCGUUCGCGGUCAGUCGUUCGCGCGAGAGAUGGGUGCAAAGUCCGUGCGUUGUUCGACGCACGCGCACGGGGUCGAAAUCGUGCGCGCACCGUGUACUCGGGAUGCCUCGACGCGAGGCGCUCGGCGACGUGCGAGCCGAUGAAGCCGGCGCCACCGGUGAGAAGGAUGCGCAUGCGGGCGGACGGGCGUCUCGGUCGAGCGCGUCUAGAUUUUCGCAGAUUAUCUCGACGACAUGCUCGCGAAUACCGCGCGCGCCUCGAGGGCGUUCGCGAGUGCUGCGCGCGAUGUCCACGCGACGCCGCGCCUUUUGACGCCACUCGCACCGGCGCGCAGAAAACGAACGGCGGUUCGGCGGGGCGCGAAAGUGAUUACUCCUUCGGGGGUAACCUAGGCGAGCUUCCCGUAUUCAUGUACAAAUUACUCACCCAUAUAUCAUACCUGGUAUUGAUCCGACACGCGUCAGAGAUAACGGGGAGAAUAAAACCACAGAAAUUCAUGUACACGCGGCACUUCGACAAAGUCUUUCGAUCGUUAAAGCACUGGUGACCCCUCUACCCUCCACGUUCUGUCAGAGGCUAGUUCUGUGAGUCUCUCAGUCUGUAUUCUUUUACACCGAAGGUCGCUCCGAGGACGAAACUAUCUUGUGUUUAUUUUUGGAUCUGGUCUACUGCAUACACUUUAAGUGCGCCGAUAAAGAGCUUUGACUUCGUGACAACGGCUGUCAUCUACGAACCUGUUUCACGCAUCAAAGUCCACCAUGCUUUGAAUCCUGUGGCUUGUGGCACGUGAUGAGCAAGUGCCACCCGAACCUGCGUUCUAUGGUGCGCACGAGAGCGUCCGCACGAGAGCAUCCGGCAUGGCCGCGAACCACGGCUCUUUUCUGGAUGAAGCAUCCAGACCAACGGGAUCGAACGAUCGAGGACAUGGAGUCACACAACGUCGCUAACCUUCGAUGGAAUGUUCGUGUCGUUCAAGCCGCAAUUCGUCACGUCAAACAAAGCAGCGCGCUUGAACUGGAUUGAAAAUGCUGGUCGAUACAAAGAAGCUGUGGGGACGAUACUUUGGACAUCGUAUUCAAUAUCUUACUUAGCGUACCUCGCCGUGUAGAGUCUCACGCCUAGCGUACGUACGCGAAGUGAAAAUAGAUUUGAGUUUUCAUUUAGUGUAACUCGAUAGCGGGUUUCCCAUGGUGGUGUUCGGGAUGGGCGCUACUCCCCCUGCCGUAGCAUCGCAUAUUUCGUAAUCGAAAAGUUAACGUGCCCAUCGAGUACUAAUCAAUGAUAGCUACUUGUAAUCAUCAUCACUUAUUGACGCAGGCCCGAUUGAUCGCAUAGUAUUAGG
rnacentral:lncRNA from 1 species